rnacentral:lncRNA from 1 species
CAUCCAGGAGGACGGACAAUCAGCGGGCCCCUUGGCAUGCCUGGGACAUGACUAUAUUUUACUUUUACGAAUUUAAACAACCCCACGUAGGGAAUGUCUACCGUCUUGGAUGGCAGAGUUCGAUGAGAAUUUACCCGCCCUCAGAGUAGCAUAGCCAGUGGCUGAAUUUGAAGCAGAGAAACACGUAUUUAAGAAAAUACUCCAUACUGGCUUAUCAUUCAUAAUUAAUGGCUCAUUAAUCAUUUACUCAAUAAGCAGUCUACUGGAACACUUAUGUGCCAAACACUCGCUGAGCUCUGGGAGCGAAGCCGUGUGACAUGCUCAUGUCCUUUACAUUUCUAGUGGGUAAGUUCACAGGGAGGAGCACACAGCAGUGAGUGUACUCUGGGCAGUGCACCUACGGACAGAAAACACCACAGGAAGUACCCUUAAACAACAUUUUGCUGAAAGACUUUUAUUUCCUGCAGUGAGCACAAUGGAUGUGGUAAUAAUCUGUGAGAGCAAGAAAAUGCUUCUGCUGUUUUAGGAUCAAAUGGGAGUUGACACAUCCAACGCACUAUGGAAUUCAAGUCCCCCCAUCUACCAUGGCUUCUGCUGUGGGUCAGCAGAUCACAUCUGUGACUCUGAAAGGGCUGUCUCUCCAGAUUCCAGGACAUCAGUUUGCCCUCUGACCACAAUUCUCUGACCUGAAGAGACUCAAAGGACAGGUAGAUAAUACAAGGCUGUGAAGUCAGUGGGACCACAUCACAAAGGCAUUCAAGUCCACGAGCCAACCUAGAAGCAUGUUGCUGGACUCUUCAUCGAGGGCUUGGAAUACGGCUUCCUUUCCCGGCCUAUGUGCUUAUGCCCACAACCGCCCCUCUUCAUCGCCUACUAAAGAGGAGAUAAUAGCAUUCAGCCCGCAUACAUCACCAGGUGGUUGCAAUAAUUUAAUUUUCCAAUAUCUAUAAAGCAUUUGACAACUAUAAAUCACUGGAAAACAGCAAACAACUUAACCCAUAUCGAGCCUUCCUUAUGGCCCCAUGUUUAAUUUAUGCGGUCUCUCUCGGAACUUAGGGACAUGCAUUUCAAUCUAUUUUCGGGAAUUCGACUUAUCGUUUUCUGUUGGGAAAAUACACCCUUUCCCUGCCAUCCUAACGUAUUGAGAGUGUGGCUUAUGGGAUUGUUGACCGGCUGUCUGUAGCAAAUAAAAUCUAC